AAUAUUAUGUCUGAAAAAGAAGUAGACUGUAAAUUUACUAAUAAAGAUAACAAUUCUUUUAAUAUUA
rnacentral:tRNA from 1 species